rnacentral:ncRNA from 1 species
UAAAGGGUACCUAGACGGUUAUAAUUCCAAUAAUAAAGGAAAAUGUAACUAGAGUUUUAUAUGAAAAGGUAGUACUAUAGGAGGAGAGAUAAAAUUCUGUGAUACUUAGAGGACUGGUUAAGGCGAAGGCAACCUUUUAUCUUAAAACUGACGUUGAAGGACGAAGGCAAAGGGCACGAAAAGGAUUAGAUACCCAAGUAGUCUUUGCAGAAAAAUAUGAAUGCCAUAGGUCAGCUGACUUUCUUAGAGUGCCUAGCCAUUCGGCUAGUCAUGCC